GCCCAUGUAGCUCAGUUGGUAGAGCGCAUCCUUGGUAAGGAUGAGGUCGGCAGUUCAAGUCUGCUCAUGGGCUCCA
rnacentral:tRNA from 1 species